UUAAAUGGACAGGGUGUGUACUUAUACACCUGAACUCUGGGAGUGUUUAUCUGUGAUCACAACCUUCCUUUUGAGAGCUUCCAGGUCCCCGUUGAGCCUCUGGAUGUGGCGCACCAAGUCUGAGAUCUCCCUCCUUAAAUCACGCACUUCCUGCUCCCGCUGUCCUGCAUUUGAGACCAUGGCAUCCAUCUGAGGGGAAAAGAUGACAUAUUUCACCAUAUCUCUUGUGCUCGGCUUCUUCCCUGCUGCGGGCAGCCACGUUGGCAUACUGAUUCUUGACACCUUCGAUGAUCUCGUCCAUGUCCAGAGACCGUUUGCUGUUGUCGGGCCCAACAGGUUGUAGCUUCCACAGAGCAGAGGUAAAGAACAAUAAAAGAAACCCCAUCAAUACCUCAUCAUAGCCAGCCCUGAGGAAGUCCAGUUUUCCAAUCAGGUCCUCCAGCUCCAGAACCAGAUCUACUGCCUCCAUGUGACCUUCAUCUACAUCCUGUUACAAACAUACCCAUUAAACCCAUGUAUGUAUGCGAUAUAAUACAAAAAUACUAUUGCCUUAAUGUAUUUCAAAUGUGGGGAAUUAGUGAAUUAGAGUGUUUACUAUGUUUUCUAAAUGGUUGGAUAUAUAAGCAGCACAAGAAGCUGAAAGUACCUGUUUCUUGACAACAAACUCAUUCUCCAGGUCAGAUCUUUUAAAAA